GGGUGGGUGGGCUCAGUGUUUAGAGCGUAGGUCUCGUAAACGAAAGGUUGCGGGAUUGAAUCCCGCUAGAGCUG
rnacentral:tRNA from 1 species